GCGAGGAGAUCGGCCCCCUCUUCCCGUCUCCAUCCCCGGUAGGCCUCAGCUAGAUUUCUACGGCUCCCAGCAGUGUAAACCUGCGGAAGGGUUGACGGAUUGCUUGCCCAAGAUUUCCUGACCUAGUAUGGGCACAGGAUUGGACAUGUCAGCGGUAAAGCUGGGGUAAAUACUCUAUUUUUGAGCAAUUCUGCAGGAGCUCCAGUGCCAC